CAUAACUUAGCCACACUCUGGCAUGGGGAAAAAAAAAAUCUGCACACAACUAUUCUAGCUCCUAAAAUACCAUUUUAGUGAGAAUUAAAGCCUGUCAGAAUUACCUUCUAGUAUUUAGACCAAGGUUUCGUUUUGUAAAAUGUUUGUUCUUUGAGAGUUUAAGAUAAUCUACUUCCUGGUUCAAACCUCCCUGUCACAUAAUGGGGAACUAACUAUUUUUGAUUACUUGUAAAGUUAGGAGUGGUUUCCCCUUAUGAAGUUUAUUUAAGGCCAUGCAAACUGUGCUUAGUUGCCACUUGCUCCUGAGUUACCAGCCUGAACACUUGACCUGUGUUGUGAAUAGUAUUUUUUCUGUUAGUGGUCGUGUGUCAUGGGGUACUCGGAGAAGUGUGCCCUGCUCUGGAGAUCUUUGGGCUAAAUAACCCAUCAUUUUCAAAAACUGGGGCUUACCGGUACUUUGGCCAACUUUAGCCAGAGUUUUUGAGAUUCUACUUAAUUAUUAACAACAAUCACAUAUAUUCCAAAAGGCAAACUCACCAACAGACUGCCAAGACUGCCAUUCUGUAAUAUUUCAUGGGCUCCCUGAAUGAUGGCUUGAUAAGAAAAUCUCAGCUGAUCUGAAGUUUGGAUUAAACCCAUGCGAUAAGACCGCAUUUGGAGGAGCAUUUCUUUAACAUUGAUACUGUCUAGGCUGCCUUCAUUCUCCACC